UCCGGUUUGGCACCGGCAGUCCUCCCAGAGUCCCCGACUUCACUCGCUGGCAACUGGGAGCGGGGGUUGCGCUCGUUGCGGGACUUAACCCAACAUCUCACGACACGAGCUGACGACAGCCAUGCAGCACCUGUCUCGGGACUCCGAAGAGGGGACCUCGUUUCUGAGGUCUUUCCCCGAGAUGUCAAGCCCAGGUAAGGUUCUUCGCGUUGCGUCGAAUUGAACCACAUGCUCCGCUGCUUGUGCGGGUCCCCGUCAAUUCCUUUGAGUUUUAGCCUUGCGGCCGUACUCCCCAGGCGGGGCACUUAAUGCGUUAGCUGCGGCACGGAAGGAGUCGACACCUCCCACACCUAGUGCCCAUCGUUUACGGCGUGGACUAC
rnacentral:misc_RNA from 1 species